rnacentral:rRNA from 1 species
GACGAACGCUGGCGGCGUGCUUAACACAUGCAAGUCGAACGGAAAGGCCCUGCUUUUGUGGGGUGCUCGAGUGGCGAACGGGUGAGUAACACGUGAGUAACCUGCCCUUGACUUUGGGAUAACUUCAGGAAACUGGGGCUAAUACCGGAUAGGAGCUCCUGCUGCAUGGUGGGGGUUGGAAAGUUUCGGCGGUUGGGGAUGGACUCGCGGCUUAUCAGCUUGUUGGUGGGGUAGUGGCUUACCAAGGCUUUGACGGGUAGCCGGCCUGAGAGGGUGACCGGCCACAUUGGGACUGAGAUACGGCCCAGACUCCUACGGGAGGCAGCAGUGGGGAAUAUUGCACAAUGGGCGGAAGCCUGAUGCAGCAACGCCGCGUGCGGUAUGACGGCCUUCGGGUUGUAAACCGCUUUCGCCUGUGACGAAGCGUGAGUGACGGUAAUGGGUAAAGAAGCACCGGCUAACUACGUG